UUGUGUGACCAAACAUAUUGGGCUUACAAUAAAAAGUCUAUUUACACUGCUCUGUCUAGUCUCUCAUCUCACUCUUACGAUUUUGGUUAGAUCUGAAAACUCAACACGUUAGGAAAGACCAAACAUUUUCUUUGGCUUUGCUCUCAUGGUAGACUGCCUAUAAGACUUUCUCCGACCAAAAAUUCUGGUUGGAUAUGGGUCUAAAUCUUUCUAGUUUGGAUAAGUCCACCAGCCAUUAGCUCAAUGCCCUUAAAUCUCUUUCACCCCCUUUUUUUGAUAGUUCCAUCGAUUGGUUGGCUCUUCUCCCUUUUGCUCUCUGGCACAUCUGGGUGAACCGAAAUAAUAAUGUUUGUAACAAAAAGAAAAGACUUCCCCAUUAUUGCUCUUGUUCAUGCUAAAACUGAUGAAUACAUUUCUACUACCUUUUCCAACAGCAACUAUAUAUAGGUUCUGUCUCUAUUGAUAUCCGAUGGUUCCGUAUUUAAGCUCAAUAUUAAUGAUGGGUCUUUCACUGUCAAUAUCGAUCGUUGUGGUUUUGGUGGGGUUAUCCGGGAUGCCUUGGGUGUCUGGGUUCUUGAUUUCUACCGUAAAAGCAUUAGUUAUUGCCACAUCUUGGUGGAAUUGGAGGUUAAUGUUAAAAAGCGUGGGAAGUCCAGUGGUGCAACAUAAUUUUCGGGAAGCAAAUACAGUAGCCAACAACUUCAGUCUCCAACUGACCACAUUUUGACAUCUUCACCGGUGGAAUUAGUGGAACAACUUCAAAAAGAUAUCAGCAGAACUCUAUGUCGUAGAUUACUAUCUUCGUCAAUGUAUAAUAACUUCUUCUGUGUACAAAAUCAGUCUGUGUCAGCUAUUACUAGUAUUAGUUUUUUGUUUUCUCUAAUGCUAAGCAUUGUACUACUAUUGUUACCUCUUCUAGUUUAAUCUCUACUACUGUUAGGGGUCGUUUGCUUUGAAAAAAAGUUAUAUCGGGAUUAGUUAUAUUGGAAUAAGUUAUAUUGA